AUGAGCAGAAGGACGGCUGCCGGUGCCUUUUGGUGCUGAGGAAAUCCAUCCAUCGUGUGGGACUCGAGCACUGUAAAGUGCAGACUGAGAAGUCUGGCAAUGGAGCAGAAAUCCUUUGAGCUAAGGACUGUAAACGGUACAUCCGUCUGAUUGAUGACUAUGAUGCGGCCUAAGAACGUAAAAACCAAUCUUUUGGUGAUUGUUCUACGGUAAACCGUUGAGGAUUCAGAUGGAAUUGUUGAAACGGCCAUCCUCGAGGAUGCAAGUCCAAAUAGGCUGCCAAUUACCCCCCACAAGAGGCGGCGGGUAGGACGCUAAGCUGAAUGCUGUCAAGAGGUCGAAUGGUAACAUUGAUCUCUGAACAGAAGGUGGAUUACUCUCUGCGCAU
rnacentral:RNase_P_RNA from 1 species